GGGGAUGUGGCUCAAUGGUAGAGCGCUUGCCUGGCAUGCAUGAGGCACUGGGUUUGAUCCUCAGCACCACA
rnacentral:tRNA from 1 species